UACGUAGGGUGCAAGCGUUAAUCGGAAUUACUGGGCGUAAAGCGUGCGCAGGCGGCUUUGCAAGACAGAUGUGAAAUCCCCGGGCUCAACCUGGGGACUGCAUUUGUGACUGCAAGGCUGGAGUGCGGCAGAGGGGGAUGGAAUUCCGCGUGUAGCAGUGAAAUGCGUAGAUAUGCGGAGGAACACCGAUGGCGAAGGCAAUCCCCUGGGCCUGCACUGACGCUCAUGCACGAAAGCGUGGGGAGCAAACAGG
rnacentral:rRNA from 1 species